GGAGGGAGCGCAGGGGGAGGGGGUGAGUCACGGCCGCGCCCCCUCGGGCGCUAGGCUGGAGUAGCGAUUGCUGGAGCCUCGGCGGCCCGCCCGAGCGCGCCCCAAGCUCCAGUGCCGGGCAACUGGGGCCACGCAGAUCGCAGAUGGGUCUCACCCUAAUUUUUCUCCAGGAGCUGGACUAAGGAGAGGCCAAGAUUCCAGCCGCCCCCAAAUGCCUCCCGAGGAGAAAGCUCCCGGAUCCUGUCCAGAGGCGGUCCGGCGCACCGAGAGUGGCAGCCCCCAAGCCAGCCAGACUUCAAAUGGAUCCAACCGGCACCCCCUGGUGCCCAGCGGGUGGCAGUGAGGCCCCAAUCCGCGUUGCAUUCCGGAUCUUGCCCAGAAAGCCUACUUUUUUCUCCUAGAGUUUCAAGCCCGAAGACUUCAAGAACGGUUGAGCCUUGAUUAAGACAAAUUCAACCUCUCACCCCGAGUCAAGAUUACUGGCUAAAAUUCUUUAAACUUGCUCCGUAUUGAGAUGCGCCCUGGAGGGCCCAUUCCUUGGCGGAGGCUACCUUUGCCCUCUGGGCGUUCACCUUGCCCUGACCACUUACAUAACAGUCAUAAUAAUAAUAGAAACAUUAACAUAUAUAUAUACGGAAA